rnacentral:pre_miRNA from 1 species
AAUAAAUAUAAUUUUACACCGUUCAUCUUCAACAUUUGAUCAUUUGUUUUAUUUAAAUUUUUUUUAUUUUUUAUGAUCAGUAUUUUUAUUGUUAUUAGAUAUAAAACAUUAAUAAUAUUUAAAGCAUGACUAAUUAUUUUUAAUUUUUUUUCAUAAUUUUAUAAAUAAGAUGAACGAUCAAACACUGUACACGGAUACCCUCGACUACACUUAUU